rnacentral:rRNA from 1 species
GGCGAACGCUGGCGGCGUGCUUAACACAUGCAAGUCGAGCGGUAAGGCCCUUUCGGGGGUACACGAGCGGCGAACGGGUGAGUAACACGUGGGUGACCUGCCCUCAGCUCUGGGAUAAGCCCGGGAAACUGGGUCUAAUACUGGAUAUGACUCCAUGACGCAUGUUGUGGGGUGGAAAGCCUUGUGCGGCUGAGGAUGGGCCCGCGGCCUAUCAGCUUGUUGGUGGGGNGAUGGCCUACCAAGGCGACGACGGGUAGCCGGCCUGAGAGGGCGACCGGCCACACUGGGACUGAGACACGGCCAGACUCCUACGGGAGGCAGCAGUGGGGAAUCUUGCGCAAUGGGCGAAAGCCUGACGCAGCGACGCCGCGUGAGGGAUGACGGCCUGGUGUAACG